UACGGAGGGGUCGAGCGUUAUUCGGAAUUAUUGGGCGUAAAGGGCGCGUAGGCGGCUUGGUGAGUCAAAGGUGAAAUCCCUCGGCUCAACUGAGGAACUGCCUUUGAAACUGUCUGGCUUGAGGCCGGGAGAGGGUAGCGGAAUUCCCAGUGUAGCGGUGAAAUGCGUAGAUACUGGGAGGAACACCGGUGGCGAAGGCGGCUACCUGGACCGGUUCUGACGCUGAUGCGCGAAAGCGUGGGUAGCAAACAGG
rnacentral:rRNA from 1 species